rnacentral:lncRNA from 1 species
CGAAUAACAAAAAUCCCCUGCAAACCUCUCAUUUUUAACCACCGAGAACUGACUCUUUCCUGUUUCAAACACAUUACGGCUCCAAACUCUGUCUCUCAGCCUUCACACACCUGUCUAUAAGACAUCUCUGGAAGCUUCCGCCCGGCGUGGGGACAGUAAGCCCCAGUAAUCCCAAACAUGCACUCUCAUCUUGCCAACAUGCCUCCUGCGAGCUUUCCAACAUGCAGAUACAUCCGUUUGCACUAACACAAUUCUCACACUUCCAAAGACACAGACGACUGCCCAGAGUGAGACUUGGAGUGAGGCAGAGACCUUCGGCACCGGGGACCCCACCCUAAGGCAGUGGGGUCUUAGGGUUGCAAUAAGGGAGGGGUACUGUCAAGGUCACUUGCGAUUUAGAAAUGGGUGGGGGUGUCACAUGCCAAUCCCUUGCAGCCAGGUUGGGAUCAAGGCUUUGGAAAGACCCUUCCGACUAAUCUACAAGCACCAGUGUACCUACUGUGUGGCCUGGGGACCCAGAUGCACAGAACAAAGCUAUCAGCAGUGCUAACAGUCACUGAACCACCCUACCUGUCAUGGGCUCUCAGCAUCGAGCUUAGGAAACACAGGGACAUGAGACUAUCACACUGCCCCAAAUGGGACUUAGCCAAAAAUGUCAGAAGGUCCUGGGGAGCCUUCCACACUCACAGGAAGCAACCUAAGGCUUGCUGUGGAGAUGGGAGGCACCGCUGUGUGGAUACCCGCAGUUCCUACAGUCUCGCCACAAGCAGUCCUCAACCUGACAGCCUACUUCUCCUUCACAAACCAAGACCCAGCAGCUCUUGGAU